GAUGAACGCUGGCGGCGUGCCUAAUACAUGCAAGUCGAGCGAACGGACGAGACGCUUGCUUCUCUGAUGUUAGCGGCGGACGGGUGAGUAACACGUGGAUAACCUACCUAUAAGUCUGGGAUAACUUCGGGAAACCGGAGCUAAUACCGGAUAAUAUUUUGAACCGCAUGGUUCGAAAGUGAAAGACGGUCUUGCUGUCACUUAUAGAUGGAUCUGCGCUGCAUUAGCUAGUUGGUAAGGUAACGGCUUUCGAAGGCGACGAUGCGUAUCCGACGUGAGAGGGGGGUAGGCGGCAUGGGAACGGGGACAGGCACCAGGGGACUACGAGAGGGAGCAGAAGGGAAUCGGCGGCAACAGUCGAGAACAUGGCGGAGCGACGCGACGUGAGAGAUGAAGAUGUUGGGAUCGGGAUACUGGCUUAUGGGGGAAGAACAUAUGUGUAAGGAACUGUACAGAGCGUGACGGUACCGAGUCAGAAAGCCACGGCUAACUACGUG
rnacentral:rRNA from 1 species